rnacentral:misc_RNA from 1 species
AAGUCGUAACAAGGUUUCCGUAGGUGAACCUGCGGAAGGAUCAUUACAGAAUGUCACCUAUCAUUGGUACACUCUGAUUUAUAUCCCUUUGUCUACAUACUCUGUUGCUUCCAUGGUGCCAGCUAAGUCUUUGGCUCUGGACAGGAAAGUUUUGUACUACCUGCCUGGAAGUGCCCAUGGGUUAAUUAUAUAAAAAAACCUUUUUGCUGAAGUUGUCUGAAUAUAUUUUAAAUAAAAUAAAACUUUCAACAACGGAUCUCUAGGCUCUU